GACGAACGCUGGCGGCGUGCCUAAUACAUGCAAGUAGAACGCUGAAGGAGGAGCUUGCUUCUCUGGAUGAGUUGCGCACGGGUGAGUAACGCGUAGGUAACCUGCCUGGUAGCGGGGGAUAACUAUUGGAAACGAUAGCUAAUACCGCAUAAGAGUAGAUGUUGCAUGACAUUUGCUUAAAAGGUGCAAUUUCAUCACUACCAGAUGGACCUGCGUUGUAUUAGCUAGUUGGUGAGGUAACGGCUCACCAAGGCAACGAUACAUAGCCGACCUGAGAGGGUGAUCGGCCACACUGGGACUGAGACACGGCCCAGACUCCUACGGGAGGCAGCAGUAGGGAAUCUUCGGCAAUGGACGGAAGUCUGACCGAGCAACGCCGCGUGAGUGAAGAAGGUUUUCGGAUCGUAAAGCUCUGUUGUAAGAGAAGAACGAGUGUGAGAGUGGAAAGUUCACACUGUGACGGUAUCUUACCAGAAAGGGACGGCUAACUACGU
rnacentral:rRNA from 1 species